UAAAUAAAACGGAGUCACGAAACUUGUAUUACCAAAAAAAAAAAAUCGUUCUGUGCGUUAUUUCUUUGAUAACAAAAGGUUGAAAAGUGAGUUUCGGUAGACCAAAGGGUGAGUUCGCUAAUUAUUAUAACAUGGUCCUUCGAGCCUUCAGAAAGGCACCUUAAAAAAAAAAAAAAAAGGAAAAUAAUAACAACAAUAAACAAUUUUUUAAUAAAGUAAAGUGCGGUGACUAUCAUACAUAUACUUAAAACUAUACAAGUGGAAAAAAUAAAAAUAAAACAGUGAAGUGAAAAAUACCUAAAACCAAAAAAAAAAAACAGCAACCAAGCCAAAAGGGCUCAGUGAGCUAAGAUUAAAAAAAAAAAAAAAGAAAAGAAAAUUAACAUAUACAGUAUUAGUGCAGUGCAACACAAUUGGAAUAUAUAAUAUAUCCAAUAUAGUGAAGCAAACAAAAACGCGCCAAAAAGAAGGGAAGACCAAACGAAAACAAAACAACAACAACAGCGGGCGCGAAAUUAAAUAAAUCACCAGCGGGCGCGAAACUAAACCGGGCGCGGUUAAUAAAAACAAAGACAACAUACCCGAAGCACAUACAAAAGGCACACAGGAGCAUAGGAGGCAUACUAACUGCGAGGACAAGAACAAUAAGAAACUAAACAUUAGGGCAAGCCACAAAGAAAUACACUCCCCAAAAAUUCCCUUGAUGCGAGAAAGGGUAAGUGUAUCGCUUCCACUUACUUAUAUGCAUGUACAUAUGUAUGUUUAGAAAAAAAAAAAAAACUGUUUUACCAAUUAUAACCCUGUAUUAAUUGUAAACAGUUUCAUCAAAACGAAUCGUAAAAUUUAAUACGGUGCUUUAAAAGACCGAUAUUAAAGUUGAUAAAAUAUAUACUUGUAUUUAAAUUACUAAUGCCUAUGUAUGCUUUUCUUUGUGAACACAAUCACACAAAACAAAUUAAAAUCGUACAAAAUCAUCCAAGUCUCUACUUAUAAUAUUUUCUGGCACCCCUUCUGCUUUUAAAGCAGCAAGCGGAUUGCACUAAUAAGCAAAAGGCAUAUUAAAAAGUACAAAACAAGAAAUAAAAGAAAACAUAAAUGCGGAACAUAUGAUUUACAAAUUGAAGCACACAUACAUACAUAUAUACAUGCAAACCAACUUUCCUUAGCUUGGUAAUUAACGAACAUACUUUUCAUAACUUAUUAGAGGCAAAUAUAGGAACACACAUACGAGUAUAUACAUACCGUCACACAUGUGUGUUGAGUGCAGAAAUUAACUACCUGCAAGUCUCGCCUCACUUUUACCAGUUUAACAAACUUUCCUUCGUCACUUAUUCGAAUCGCGAUUACAACAAUAAAUUGUAUGUAAAUAAAUUGUAUGCCUACAUAGUGUAUACCACACAUACAUAGGACAAAUAAAUUGCGGGAAGUUAAUACAAAUUGGAAAAUAAAUAAACGUUAAAAGAAUUUGCUAACGCGAAUUAACAACAAAACGAGAAAAAAGGAAAAGAAAAUUAUUAUUAUACCAUACCAAGUUUAUUAUUAUUAUAUCAUAUAUACAUAUAUGCACAUAAAUAUUCAUAUACUCAAAGUCCAAAUUGGCAUCAGGUUCAAGCAAUACCCCUUGUAUUUGCACAACAAAAACAAGCAGGUUCGCUUCAUAUUAAAAUAAUUUAAGCAUAGUUAUAUGCAUACGAAGCACAUAUCGUGCACACAUACAUACAUACGUAUAUACAAAAGGUAUUGACCCUUUCCGGCACACAAGUACGAGGGCAUACCAAUAAAUCCGAAAAAAAAAAAAAAUACAUACUCGCAAUACAUUAAAAAAAAAAAAAAGGUUUAGAACAUUUUUUGGCUGAGUCAACUCAUUCAAAGUUAUUCGUUGACUAAGAAAAAUAAAAAUAAAAAAUAUUUUUGGCCCACCUUAAUAUACAUAUAUACGAUAUAUAUAACAUACAUGGAAAGUGGCUAAAAGCUAAAAAUAAAAAUCCUAAAAAUUUAAAAUAUUGUGGAAGUAUAAAAUAUAUUCAGUGCAGUGGGCCGUAAAGUUAUGCUCAAAUACAAACAAGUACACAAGUGCUAAAAAAUUAAUAUAUACGUAUACAAAAUACAACAAUUAGAAACAAAACAAAAAAAAAAAAGAAAGUGUCAACAGAGGUAAAAAGUGCUUGUUACACAAAAUAGAGAAUACAUAUCUCACCUAAUCAAAAAAAAAAAAAAACGGGCGCGAACUAAAUUAAAACUAACUAAAAACAAACACACUUACAAUAAUUUAUACGGGCGCGAGUUCUAACAAGAGUCUAAAAGGAAAAAAAGCAGAUAAGAGAAAGCGGAAUAAACAGCUGGCAUCCAACCAAGAGGAGGAACUGGACAAAACUCACACUCACUUCUGUGUACAACCCAAAAACCCCUAGGGGAAAUCAAAGUGAGUUGUAUCGUUUCCAUUUUUUGGUUUUAAUUUUAUGUAUAUAUGUAUGUAUGUUUGUUAGUAACUACGGUUGCAUACAAAACCGUUUAAGCAACAUUUUAUUUAAACGGAUUUCAAAUAUUUUUUUAUACGGUAUAAAUUAAAUAACCGAUAUUAAAAAACAAAAAAGAAAGGUGAGCUAAAUUUGGUAUUAUACCGCCCACGUAUACUUACCUACGUUUAUGCAACCACUCCAAAAAAAAGAAAAGAUAAUAUUAUCGCACUAUUCAAGUAUUUACCUACUUGUAAUUUUUCCGGCAAUACAUCUUCUACUUCUUAAAGCAGUAAGCUGUAUUGCUCAAAGGAAGUAAUAGGCGCAAUAAAAAUCUUAAAGCAAACAUCAAAAAAAGAGAGAAAGUAUAAACAUACAUAUAUACAUACAUUUAUGCAAUAUAAACAUCACUGUUAAUAUACAUUAACACACAUUGGUUAAAUUAUUUACAUACAUACAUAUAUAUACUUGCAUUUAAGUGCAGAGGUUAAAUACCUGCACAUUACACAUUUCUCUCUUCUUCGGUUUAUUCCGUACUAGGGUGGGUCGAUUCCGGACUUUUUUCGAUUCGGGAUUUCUAAUAGUGCGGAAAAGUUGCCUUAGUACUUCCUGAUUCCAAUGCCACUUUUUGUUUUGAGAUCGGAUUGCAUCUUCAACCCCAACUCCGGCCUUGAAAUUUCGGAAAUUCGCCUAAAAUCGUGAAAUUGUCUACCUAGCUCCUGAAAUACGCAUCUCAUAGCAAAAUGUAUGAAACAAAUGUUAUUUGUCACGUCAUUUGCUUCCGAAAUGUGAUAAUGGACGUAGGACGAACCGUUCCCGAGAUACGAGCGAAAAGGCGGCGCGCCACAGCGCAAGGUGAAAAUUGUUGCAGCUCUCAGCUAACCUGUAUUGGUCACCCAGAACCCACCGCGUGGAUGUGGCUGCUCUUCGGGUUCCUCCCAAGCCCAACCCAACCAACCAACCAUAUGUCAGGCUUGUUUUAGUCUAAAUCUGUGUCAAAUUUAUUGAUAAAUCAGAUUUUGUACUAAACGUUGGCACUUGUUGCCUAGAUUUCAGUGUAGAGCGUAUAAAACGAUCACGGGAUUGGGGGCCAAUAACUUUAGAAGAUGCCUCUGUCACCAGUUUGACGGUUCUCUCGACUGCCACGGUGUGAGAGGGGAAUUCACUAAAUUUCCAUACCUCUGCAGUGUCUCCCGAUAGCCCUUUUAUGAGUUCUUCGUUAGAAACUGAACAAAGAACUGGUGGAACAGUCAAGUGUCAGACUCUGUUGCUCUGGCUGCCAGAAGACGGUCAAGGGCCAACUUUCUGACUUCUAUCCGUUCGUCAGUCAUCAUACUAAGGAAAUGUUUUCUGGAAGAGCACAGAAAGCAUUCUGUUGAAUGGAUGAAUCGACAACCUUGCGCAGUUUAGCAGGUAAGUAUCUCGACCUUUGAAUUGCAGCAUAGAGAUGGCGCGAGCCAUCUUUGAUUGAACUGUUGAAUCUUACUGAGAACCACAAAGGUGAGUAAACUGUAAGUAUGUACUUGACCAAAAUCUUUAUUUCCUUUGUUGGUUUGUCAGUAGAAAUGUAUAAUCUCAGAAUUCUAUUUGCACAGGUGAGCCAGCGAGAUUUGUACAUGUUACCUGGAUGCAUCGACGCUAAAUCUGAGGAACAUUGACCGGAAAUAACAGCUUCUGAUAUUUUAUAGAUAUAAGCUUGGUCUGUGCUAAGUUGCGUCGGAUUAAUAACCUCAGAAGGUAAUUGGUAGGAUGGAAAACUUUCAAAUUUGAGAACAGGCAACUUCUCACAAUCAGGGAGCAGUUUACCUAUGUCGCCAGAGAAUGUAUUUGGACUCUUUGAGAAACCAUCUAUGUGUUCGAAAAGAGCACGAAAUGGAAGUUCGUUGAAAUGUAGAAGACAAACAACCCACUGUAAUGGCCUUGUCUAAAUGACUCUCGGCCUACCCUGUAAUGAAACACAGCCACACCACAUUUCAACACAAAUCAUCAUAACAGCACACCACACUCACCACUCACCUUCCACAUCACUACACAUCACACCAAUACACUCAAACAUGACACCACACUUCCAACUAGAACACAAGAAAAAGGGACGGACAACUCCAGCCACUUCACUUCGCUUUUCCUUUCGUACGAGUCUACGUCCAAGCCUUUGCGCAUACGAUUUUCGCAGCAUCGUUAUUUUUUUUCUCCCGCAUUAAUCAUCGCUCGCCGAUUCCGCCGCCAAUUGAAUUAUCCGAUUUUAUCACGUUUGUGAAACACAUACCUAAAUAUAAAUAAAACGGAGUCACGAAACUUGUAUUACCAAAAAAAAAAAAAUCGUUCUGUGCGUUAUUUCUUUGAUAACAAAAGGUUGAAAAGUGAGUUUCGGUAGACCAAAGGGUGAGUUCGCUAAUUAUUAUAACAUGGUCCUUCGAGCCUUCAGAAAGGCACCUUAAAAAAAAAAAAAAAAAGGAAAAUAAUAACAACAAUAAACAAUUUUUUAAUAAAGUAAAGUGCGGUGACUAUCAUACAUAUACUUAAAACUAUACAAGUGGAAAAAAUAAAAAUAAAACAGUGAAGUGAAAAAUACCUAAAACCAAAAAAAAAAAACAGCAACCAAGCCAAAAGGGCUCAGUGAGCUAAGAUUAAAAAAAAAAAAGAAAAGAAAA